rnacentral:rRNA from 1 species
CCGGCACGGGUGAGUAACACGUAUGCAAUCCACCUGUAACAGGGGGAUAACCCGGAGAAAUCCGGACUAAUACCCCAUAAUAUGGGCGCUCCGCAUGGAGAGCCCAUUAAAGAGAGCAAUUUUGGUUACAGACGAGCAUGCGCUCCAUUAGCCAGUUGGCGGGGUAACGGCCCACCAAAGCGGCGAUGGAUAGGGGUUCUGAGAGGAAGGUCCCCCACAUUGGAACUGAGACACGGUCCAA